GAUGAACGCUGGCGGCGUGCCUAAUACAUGCAAGUCGAGCGAACGGACGAGAAGCUUGCUUCUCUGAUGUUAGCGGCGGACGGGUGAGUAACACGUGGAUAACCUACCUAUAAGACUGGGAUAACUUCGGGAAACCGGAGCUAGUACCGGAUAAUAUUUUGAACCGCAUGGUUCAAAAGUGAAAGACGGUCUUGCUGUCACUUAUAGAUGGAUCCGCGCUGCAUUAGCUAGUUGGUAAGGUAACGGCUUACCAAGGCAACGAUGCAUAGCCGACCUGAGAGGGUGAUCGGCCACACUGGAACUGAGACACGGUCCAGACUCCUACGGGAGGCAGCAGUAGGGAAUCUUCCGCAAUGGGCGAAAGCCUGACAGAGCAACGCCGCGUGAGUGAUGAAGGUCUUCGGAUCGUAAAACUCUGUUAUCAGGGAAGAACAUAUGUGUAAGUAACUGUGCACAUCUUGACGGUACCUAAUCAGAAAGCCACGGCUAACUACGUG
rnacentral:rRNA from 1 species